CCCAGAUUCUAGUCUUCUUGGCUUUACUAAUUAAUAGCUACCUGGCUGUGAGCAAGCCAUUUUACCUUUACUUAAGCUAGAAGACUAAAUCCGAUCCCUGUUGCUCCAUUAUGGCUGACAAUGGAAAUCCUCCAGGGAUUCCUGGAAGAACACUGUUCUUAUUUAAUACUGACCAAGCUUCUCUGGGGAUGCUGAUCCUUCUGGAUGAUAAGAAUGCCGCCUUCAAGAUCCCCAGGCCCAACAGCAGGCAUUGUUUUCUUGGGGUCUUAUUUCUAGGCAGCAUAUAAAAUAAUCCUCAAGAGAAUAUAGCCAGAUUUGUGACCAAAAAAAUGAAAUGAAAUGAAAUGAAACUUCUCUUUCCUAGCACAGGAUGUUAAAUCCUUGACUGUUGUUUUAUUAGCUUUUGGUUGAAAUUGAUAAUAAAUGAAUGUGUUGAUCUUCUAUGGUUAGCCAGAAUUCAGAUGC